rnacentral:rRNA from 1 species
UACGUAGGGUGCAGGCGUUAAUCGGAAUUACUGGGCGUAAAGCGUGCGCAGGCGGUCUAUUAAGACAGGUGUGAAAUCCCCGGGCUCAACCUGGGAACUGCAUUUGUGACUGCAUGGCUGGAGUGCGGCAGAGGGGGAUGGAAUUCCACGUGUAGCAGUGAAAUGCGUAGAGAUGUGGAGGAACACCGAUGGCGAAGGCAGCCCCCUGGGCUAACACUGACGCUCAUGCACGAAAGCGUGGGGAGCAAACAGG